AUACGGAGGGGGCAAGCGUUGUUCGGAAUUACUGGGCGUAAAGGGCGCGCAGGCGGUUUUGUUAGUCAGGCGUGAAAUCCCCGGGCUCAACCCGGGAACUGCGUUUGAUACUGCGGAACUAGAGAUCGGGAGAGGGUAGUGGAAUUCCCAGUGUAGAGGUGAAAUUCGUAGAUAUUGGGAAGAACACCAGUGGCGAAGGCGGCUACCUGGACCGACACUGACGCUGAGGCGCGAAAGCGUGGGGAGCAAACAGGAUUAGAAACCCCUGUAGUCC
rnacentral:rRNA from 1 species